rnacentral:rRNA from 1 species
CCUACGGGAGGCAGCAGUGGGGAAUAUUGGACAAUGGGCGAAAGCCUGAUCCAGCCAUGCCGCGUGUGUGAAGAAGGCCUUCGGGUUGUAAAGCACUUUCAGUGGGGAAGAAAGCCUUGGGGCUAAUACCCUCGAGGAAGGACAUCACCCACAGAAGAAGCACCGGCUAACUCCGUGCCAGUAGCCGCGGUAAUACGGAGGGUGCGAGCGUUAAUCGGAAUUACUGGGCGUAAAGCGCGCGUAGGCGGUCUGAUAAGCCGGUUGUGAAAGCCCCGGGCUCAACCUGGGAACGGCAUCCGGAACUGUCAGGCUAGAGUGCAGGAGAGGAAGGUAGAAUUCCCGGUGUAGCGGUGAAAUGCGUAGAGAUCGGGAGGAAUACCAGUGGCGAAGGCGGCCUCUGGACUGACACUGACGCUGAGGUGCGAAAGCGUGGGUAGCAAACAGGAUUAGAUACCCGUGUAGUC